rnacentral:lncRNA from 1 species
AUUUAUUUUUCAUUAGGAAGUAUCUUUUUAGAGUUACAGUGUUGACUCCAGAACCACCUCCUUCUGGAACCACAACUGAAGUAUUGACCUAAUAGAAGCUAACUCCUAUCUUAACAGCCACACUGUUUCACCUCUAGUUGCAGAGUGGGCUGCUUCAGGGAGCAGAGUUUGCUGCUGUGAGUGGCAAGCCAGGUUGGCACUGAAGUGGAUAACCCCAGCUCUAGUGAAGGAGCAAGGGCAAAUGUGGUUUUGUCUUGGUCCUACUGACCCCAGUGGAAGUCCAGGCUGCUAAAUGACUCACUCUUACCAUGCUUCAUCCUCGAACAGAUGGAGGAGAUGGAAGGGAUGACCAGAAAGGAUGACUGAAAGAUCUCUCAGAACUGACAAUAAUUUGCUGAGCAUAGUAAAGGGAUUUAUGCUCUUGAGAGAGAAACAAAGUCACCAAACACUCUAAAAGACAAGAGCAGAUACAGGAAGCCUACAAGGUUUAAAAUGGGUAGUUGAAAAAUAUGUGUCACCUUUCUUGUGACCUCCUCUUUGUUUUUGUUUUUGUUUUUUAAGUCCAU